ensembl:lncRNA
CGACAGAACGCUGCCAAUAUUCACGUGACUCAAAGCUUGCGCCUGCAUGGUCAAAUCUCUGAAAAGUUGGAAUUAUGGCAGGAAACUGGCUCCAUAUCAUUGCGCUCUCGAAAUGCAUUUUGGGUCCGUCCGUUCAGACCUGUCCAUGGUUCAGAGUCGCACUCGCGACGCUCAUCCGUCGAAGGACGCAUGGUGUGUGGAACAAGCGUACAUAGGCCUACCUGAUCGCGUUCAUUUGUUCGCCUCCCUCCACCUCCCUCUCUCUCUGGUGCAUAUUUAAGCCACUUCUUAAGUGUCCCUGAAAAAACAAUAUGGGUGGUCCCUGGCAGCUGUUUUUGGAGUGCAGCUGAAAGAAAGAAAGAAACAAACCCGGUCAAGAAUUACCAACAUGGCGACGAUAAUUCCUACAAAUACUGAGUGAUGUAGUGGAUGGCUGGAAAGAAGAGGCAGCUUGAUGGAUGAAGCGGCAGCUUCUGGUGCUACCGGCCUCACCAUCUCUCUCCUAAGCGCCCUCACUUCACUCCCCAGAUUGUCGUGCUGUUUUCCUUGGGGGGGGGUGGUGCCUCGUCAUCAGUGUCCACACCUUGAAGCAUAUUUAACUCUAAAGGUCUGCACCUUCAAAAAAGUGUUGCGGCGGGCCCGUAGUGGUCUGGACUCUUCCAGCUGGCUCCUGCAGGGUCUUCAGCCUCUGACUGUAUGUCUGAUGUUAAACACACUAACCAAGACCCUCACGUCACCAUGCACGUCCCACGCUGCACCUGGAGGAAGUUGGUGCGCGACUGCCUUCUGGAGGCGGUUAUGAUCGUAAGAACUAGGAGGCCAGAAACAAUUCCAUGACUCCCCUGCCUCCUCCAACCAGCUGCUUGGCACUAUGGUAGUGCUCCUAUCUUUGAAUUCGACGACCUUCCACACCUGUGCCAUCUGUCAAUGAGAAGACAAGGAAUUAGGAUUGGUGAAGAAGAGGGAUGGCAACAUAAUGGUCUUGGUCUGUGAAAAAGCACACAUUUUCUGCUGACAUCCCCAAGGAGCUCAACCUCAAGAUCAUCUACCAACGUAUGGACCUGAAAACAGCCUAUUCGAGAGGAGGGGCAGGGAUAUGUGAAAUGGGAUUCCUUGUACCCAAAUCGUCUGUAGAUGAUGAAGACUGAACCAGAGGAUAGCACAAUGUUUUGGACCAGUCCAAUAUCCUGUCCUACUGCUAUGCAGUUGUUCCCAGUGUUUGUUGACAGGCAGAAAUCUGUUGUUACUACCUUUCUGUACUGUUUGGCAGUACUGAAUUGCAGAGGCAAAGGACCAUCCUGGUGCAUUUCGUACAAAAGGGGCUGCUUACUUGGAGGUGGAGUAACAGUUUGAGGCACCUCUGACAGUCUCUUGACUACCUGUUGUAAUGGUAGUUGAGGCUUUCGCAUUUUUUUUUUUACUUUUCCAUGGAAGUUUUCAUAAGGAAAUGCAGAGACACGGUCAAGGGCACCAAACUGUUUGUACACAUCAGCUAGAUGUAUCACCUGAUGAACUGUAAAUACAAUUUCUCCUUGACCAUAUAAAUCUCCAAAGCUUUUAACAAAUGCUGUUAGGACUCGAUUGGCAAAAUCAAUCAUGGGUGCAGAGAGGUUGGGGCUGAGUAAUAAGAACACACCCAUGGAAAACAACAGGAAGUUCUCAAAAAUCUCUUCUGGUAGAUUGUGCUUUAGGACCACAGGUCCACUGUAAAUCAUGAACUGCCUUAGUUCUGUAGCCUUCCAUCUUUCGAUCUCUGUCAGCUCUCGUGGUUUUCGGGCAAAUUCAGAUGGAAUAUGGGGACGGAGAGCAAUCAGUUUAGAUGAUAUAGCUGAGAUGACAUUAGAUGGCUGUCUUAUGGCCAGGUUCUUCCUUCAUCCAGAAAAGAAUGAGUUUUUUUGUUACACCCAAACAGCAGAGGUGCAUGUAAUCAAUGGGAAACUGGGUUACCAUCUGAACAAUGCCAGUAAGGGGACUAGGUCGCAGGUGGUGAUCUGUGUCUGACAUUAAAG